GCCUAGGACGAGAGGACAUCCUAUAAAAUUUGAACGAUACAAAGAAGAUUAACAUGAUCCAUAUGCAAGGUUGACAUGUACCUAUCGAAAAGUAGUCUAAUUUUUC